rnacentral:rRNA from 1 species
AGAAUCAACGCUGGCGGCGUGCCUAACACAUGCAAGUCGAACGAGAAAGGGGUAGCAAUACCCUGAGUAAAGUGGCGCACGGGUGAGUAACACGUGACUAACCGUACCCUUGAGUGGGGGAUAACUGAGGGAACCUUAGCUAAUACCGCAUAAUACCCACGGGUCAAAGGAGCAAUUCGCUCGAGGAGGGGUCGCGGCCGAUUAGUUAGUUGGCGGGGUAAUGGCCCACCAAGACGAUGAUCGGUA